rnacentral:rRNA from 1 species
CAGCAGCCGCGGUAAUGCGGAGGGAGCUAGCGUUGUUCGGAAUCACUGGGCGUAAAGCGCACGUAGGCGGCUAUUCAAGUCAGGGGUGAAAGCCCGGGGCUCAACCCCGGAACUGCCUUUGAAACUAGAUAGCUUGAAUCUUGGAGAGGCGAGUGGAAUUCCGAGUGUAGAGGUGAAAUUCGUAGAUAUUCGGAAGAACACCAGUGGCGAAGGCGACUCGCUGGACAAGUAUUGACGCUGAGGUGCGAAAGCGUGGGGAGCAAACAGGAUUAGAUACCCCCGUAGUCCCUGUCUCUUAUAC